UUACAUCACCAGUCAUCUAUGUGAUAGAGUGUGGUCGGAGCCAGAGAUCAUUUCGUGGCCAGGCUCCCAGUGGGACAUCCUCCAAAACCUUGUGGCUAAUACACGUUCGCCCAGGUCGGCCGUGGGAACGUCUGUCUCGACAACCGAGAGUGCGCCUUCGGGUGGCUCCGUCGACCCUCGCAGUCGACGGCCGAUUGCGCCCAGCCGAUCGAAAGAUCAGCGCCCCAUCACAGUCAGGGGCAGCGUUCCUGGUGGCUGACUCAGGCUGGUCCCCCUUCCACAGUCAUAUCUCGUGGGGACGGUCGCUCUGGCAGAGUUUGUGGCGGUGUCCCUUCGCGGACCCGCCUGUGGCAUUGCUUGAUCACACGAACUUCUGACCUAUCAGCUGGGAUUGUGGUGUAGUGGACCACAAUGGCGGUGACGGGUAACGGAGAAUCAGGGUUCGAUUCCGGAGAGGGAGCCUGAGAAAUGGCUACCACUGCCAAGGCGGGCAGCAGGCACGCAAAUUGCCCAAUGGAGAAACACAGUCCGAGGCAGCGACGAACCGUAGCAAUCCUGCUGGGAUUCUUCCCCAGUGGGACUUGGAAUGGAUGCAAUCCAAACACAGUGAUGAGUAUCAACUGGAGGGCAAGUCUGGUGCCAGCAGCUGCGGUAAUUCCAGCUCCAAGCGCGUAUACUAAUGUUGCUGCUGUUAAAACACCUGUAGUCUGACACUGGGUUCAGGUCUGCCGGGCGGCCGGCCGUCCCCACCAGGGGUUGUGGUGUUGUGGCAGGGGCACCAACAAGGGGGGUCCUCCGGGACCCUUCGCCCAGGCCCUUCGCUGCUCCCCCCCAAGGGACGUCGCCGGACAAAACCCCCGGUGGUAUGCUCCUGCGCCCGCAUGUUUCAAAGGACGGUGCGAGUCGCUCCUGCCAAAAGUCCCCUUCACUGGGGGCCAAGGUGGCCCAGUGCCCCAACCGCAGGCAUGGGGACCCACUGGGGUCGGACCCUCGCGUGUCCGGCACUCCCCAGCCCCGCCCCCGGAGCCCACCGUGUCGACACCGUGGAUAACUCAGUGUGCUCAAAGCGUCCUCCUGAUGGCUGAAUGUUCCGCCCAUGGCAUGUCGCCGCAUCGACCAACCGUGAAUCAAAUGGCAACAGAGUUGUGCUGGUCUUGGAGCCCGGUCUGGGCAAGGUGGUGCAUGGCUCCGCCCCGUUCCCUGACGGGGCCUUUCGGCUUCUCCUCCCAGGGCGACCGCAGCCAGCCCCACAGGUGUCCGUCGGGCAGAGCAGGGCGAGGGCGCACACAGCAACACCUCCGGGUGCUCUGCCUGUCGUCGUCCCUUCUCCCCUCCGCUCGCCCUCCUGUGGGCGCCCUGCGGGAGCGCUGCGUGUUCGGUGGCUUCGUUUGGCUUUCCCCGGGCUCGGCGGGGUGUGCAUCGAUCGUCGACGAUGGGACCGCUCAGGGUGAAGGAUAUUACAGCGCCAGAGGUGAAAUUCUUAGACCGCUGCAAGAUCGACUGCAGCGAAGGCGCUUGGCAAGUGCGUGUUCGUUCGAUCAAGGAUGAGAGUUCGGGGAGCAAAGAUGAUCAGACACCAUCGUAGUCCGCACCGUAAACGGUGCCAGCUAGGCCUUGGCGGGGAAAAUCAAAGGACCCCGCCAGGGCCAGGCCCCCUACAUCGAGAAAUCCACAGCCUGUGGGUUCAGGGGGGAGUACGUUCGCAAGGCUGAAACUUAAAGGAAUUGACGGAAUGGCACCACAAGGCGUGGAGUAUGCGGCUUAAUUUGACUCAACACGGGGAAUGUUACCAGGUCAGGACGCAGCCUGGAUGGACAGAUUGAGAGCUCUUUCUUGAUCCUGUGGAUGGUGGUGCAUGGCCGCUCCUGAUUGGUGGAGUGAUUUGUCUGGUUGAUUCCGAUAACGAAUGAGAUAUCUGCCUUCCAGUAGCCCCGGGCUCGUAUCCGGUAGGGCCCCGGCCCUCGUCGCGCCCUCCCCCAGUGCCCCCCCAUCCUGGCCCCCCUCGCGGGGUCUGCGGUGGUGGGGGAGGAGGGGGACCCAGGGCGCCCUGGGCCGGCCCGAGAGCCUCCCUUGGGUCCAGCUUCUCUGAGGUGCUGUGUACGCUUCCAAAGUGCACGUAUGCUAGAGCCAACAGCAGGUCUGUGAUGCUCCCAGAUGUCCUGGGCCGCACGCGCACUACAUUGAUCCAGUGAGGGUGAGGUCUGCCCGACCCCGUUCGGGCCCUGGUCGGAGACGACUGGGAAACCCUGCAAGCCUGGAUCGUACUGGGGAUAGAUGAUUGCAACUGUCUGCCUUGAACGUGGAAUGCCUAGUAAGGGUUGGUCAUCAGCCAACCCUGAUUGUGUCCCUGCC
rnacentral:rRNA from 1 species